rnacentral:rRNA from 1 species
UACGAAGGGGGCUAGCGUUGUUCGGAAUUACUGGGCGUAAAGCGCACGUAGGCGGACUAUUAAGUCAGGGGUGAAAUCCCGGGGCUCAACCCCGGAACUGCCUCUGAUACUGGUAGUCUAGAGUCCGGAAGAGGUGAGUGGAAUUCCGAGUGUAGAGGUGAAAUUCGUAGAUAUUCGGAGGAACACCAGUGGCGAAGGCGGCUCACUGGUCCGGUACUGACGCUGUGGUGCGAAAGCGUGGGGAGCAAACAGG